rnacentral:rRNA from 1 species
GGGCCAGUAGGUUGGUCGUGCCACCGGUACGUACUGGUCUCACUGAUUCCUCCUUCCUGAAGAACCGUAAUGCCAUUAAUCUGGUGUUGCGGGGAAACAGGACUGUUACUUUGAAAAAAUUAGAGUGUUUAAAGCAAGCUAACGCUUGAAUACAUUAGCAUGGAAUAAUGAAAUAGGACGAUCGAUCCUAUUUUGUUGGUUUCUAGGAUUGACGUA